GCUAAAGGGAAGAAAAGAGAUCUACUUGUUCAAGGAUCCGAUUCUGUGAAACGUGAGCCUACUUGCAAAGCAGACACGUGGAAGAAAAGAGUUGAAGCUGAAAAGAGUUGAUGCACCCCAUGUGGACAAUGGUAACAGCAGGAGGCUCAUUGUUCGGUCUGCGGAAGACGUUUCUGCUACCUCUGGUAAGGGUUCUCCAUCGAUGCAAGUUGAGGAGCGUUUAAGAAAUGACGGGAAAGUAAAAGGAAAAAUGGCUACUUUUCAAAGGAAUGGUGCUCUGAACGUGACUGUGGACACAAAUCAGCAAAAGGAUGGAUUGCCCAUCUCCGAAGAUGCCAAUAUGUCAUCUCUGGUGGUCUAAAUUCUGAUGAACAAAGCUGAGGCGGAGAAUGCUCUAAAAUUAAUUCUUCGCAUUGAAAUCUAGUGCAAAAUGCACUGAUGUGAACAUGGAAAAGAAGUUGUACAUGGACAGCAAAAUAGCUUUCUUGCGCUGUGAAGAAAAGAAUGUGGAUCGUGGCGCAGCAUUAAAAGCUUGCAAUGGACCUGUUCCAACAGCUCAUGAAAGGCCGCAUGAACAUGUCCCGGAAGACACUGCAGCCAUGUCUUCUGAAAAUGUCAAGAAAAAGGUUAAUGAAGUUGACUAAUUUCACGGAAACACGGAAAUUUUUGGUGCUAGAAAUUACAACAUCCACGGCUUGCAAUUAUCUGGUAAGUCGAACAAAACCAGCAAUCCUAAUUAGCCUCGCUGCUCUCCUUGCCGCUCUCCUCUCAGCUGCUCUCAUCUCGCUCUCUUCAUUGCUGCUCUCAUCUCACUCUACAUCAUUGCUUUCACACGCUCUUUUUUUUAGAAGCAUCUCUUUGAACUACAAUCGAUCUGUCUAAACAGGAAAUCCAUGUUCGGAUGUUCAAAAUCCGAAGACUGUACUUCCAGUAAGGCCAAUAGAGGCAGGGGAUUUGGCUUAAAAUAAUUGAUCAAGUGCAUGAAACAUUUUUCCAAACUGCAGUUUAUUGUAUAGAAUUGAUAUAGAAUUUUCAGUUAGGAGAGCAGAAGGAUUGUUAAUAUACAUUGGCGGGUUGUAGAGUCUGUGGAGCUUAUUAUUUUGGUUCGGAGAGACAUUUUAUAUGCAUAUUACUAUGAAAUGUAAACCCAUGUUCUAGUUCAAUGUUUCGGUUUAUUUUUUA